rnacentral:rRNA from 1 species
AUUGAACGCUGGCGGCAGGCUUAACACAUGCAAGUCGAGCGGGGUGAUGGUGCUUGCACUAUCACUUAGCGGCGGACGGGUGAGUAAUGCUUAGGAAUCUGCCUAUUAGUGGGGGACAACAUCUCGAAAGGGAUGCUAAUACCGCAUACGUCCUACGGGAGAAAGCAGGGGAUCACUUGUGACCUUGCGCUAAUAGAUGAGCCUAAGUCGGAUUAGCUAGUUGGUGGGGUAAAGGCCUACCAAGGCGACGAUCUGUAGCGGGCCUGGGAGGAUGAUCCGCCACACUGGGACUGAGACACGGCCCAGACUCCUACGGGAGGCAGCAGUGGGGAAUAUUGGACAAUGGGGGGAACCCUGAUCCAGCCAUGCCGCGUGUGUGAAGAAGGCCUUAUGGUUGUAAAGCACUUUAAGCGAGGAGGAGGCUCUUUUGGUUAAUACCCAAGAUGAGUGGACGUUACUCGCAGAAUAAGCACCGGCUAACUCUGUGCCAGCAGCCGCCGUAA